GUCUCCCUCCCGGGUGGGAUGAGGUGGAGGAUGCAGAGGAUGAAGUGGACGAGCCCUGAAUGACCCUGUCGAGCCAGGGCUCGAUGCCGGAAUGGCUCUGGAGCAAAGCGGAGGAAACCCCAACUGUGAUGUGCUCUGAGCGUCCAGCCCUCACUGCUGUCCAUCUGCACAGCCUGACACCACAUCCACACGUCAGCAUGGCGCAGCCCGUACCUCGUAUCCUAGCCUGGGUGUGAAUGGCGCAGUACUGCGGUUGUUACGGGAGACCACGGCCCUGGCUACAUCUAUGUUCACAGGAAAGCGGGAGAAGUACCUCUGGAAAGGAUUCCUUCCUCAACAGAAUUGCUUCAACUCAUGAAAUUAUUUGUGAACUAAGGUUCCAUGAAGUCAGCAUACCUGUAUUUUAUUACAGCUAUUAAGAUAUUUUUUAUUGUUGGAUAGUGCCUACAGUGUUAUUAGCAGGUACGGUAAGGUGGCAAUAAUUUCUGAAGACUUCUUCCAACAAUAAGCUUUCCUUAAAAGGGAAGAAGCACCUACCAAGCUACCAGGUCACCCUGCAAAUCUUGUACGAUUCCAAACGCAUCAAGCCUAAAUGUUUUUUUGACUAAGAACUUGAGAGGCCUCUGUGGCAAUGCAUGGAUGAAGCCACCAGACACCAGCACCUCAGUCUGGCUUAACAGGACAUUAGAGAGAAACCUGUCUCCAUAUUUUCAUUUCCAGAGGAAACAAUAAAUGAUGAAAUAUA